rnacentral:rRNA from 1 species
UACGUAGGUGGCAAGCGUUGUCCGGAUUUACUGGGCGUAAAGAGCGCGCAGGCGGUCGUUCAAGUCGCGUGUGAAAGCCCCGGCUCAACUGGGAGGGUCACGCGAUACUGAUCGACUCGAAGGCAGGAGAGGGAAGUGGAAUUCCCGGUGUAGUGGUGAAAUGCGUAGAUAUCGGGAGGAACACCAGUGGCGAAGGCGAACUUCCUGGCCUGUUCGUUGACGCUG